rnacentral:rRNA from 1 species
UGGGGAAUAUUGCACAAUGGGGGAAACCCUGAUGCAGCGACGCCGCGUGGAGGAAGAAGGUCUUCGGAUUGUAAACUCCUGUUGUUGAGGAAGAUAAUGACGGUACUCAACAAGGAAGUGACGGCUAACUACGUGCCAGCAGCCGCGGUAAAACGUAGGUCACAAGCGUUGUCCGGAAUUACUGGGUGUAAAGGGAGCGCAGGCGGGAAGACAAGUUGGAAGUGAAAUCUAUGGGCUCAACCCAUAAACUGCUUUCAAAACUGUUUUUCUUGAGUAGUGCAGAGGUAGGCGGAAUUCCCGGUGUAGCGGUGGAAUGCGUAGAUAUCGAGAGGAACACCAGUGGCGAAGGCGGCCUACUGGGCACCAACUGACGCUGAGGCUCGAAAGUGUGGGUAGCAAACAGGAUUAGAUACCCUGGUAGUCCACACCGUAAACGAUGAUUACUAGGUGUUGGAGGAUUGACCCCUUCAGUGCCGCAGUUAACACAAUAAGUAAUCCACCUGGGGAGUACGACCGCAAGGUUGAAACUCAAAGGAAUUGACGGGGGCCCGCACAAGCAGUGGAGUAUGUGGUUUAAUUCGACGCAACGUGAAGAACCUUACCAAGUCUUGACAUCCUGCGACGAUGCUGGAAACAGUAUUUUCCUUCGGGACGCAGAGACAGGUGGUGCAUGGUUGUCGUCAGCUCGUGUCGUGAGAUGUUGGGUUAAGUCCCGCAACGAGCGCAACCCUUACUGUCAGUUACUACGCAAGAGGACUCUGGCAGGACUGCCGUUGACAAAACGGAGGAAGGUGGGGAUGACGUCAAAUCAUCAUGCCCUUUAUGACUUGGGCUACACACGUACUACAAUGGCGUUAAACAAAGAGAAGCAAGACCGCGAGGUGGAGCAAAACUCAGAAACAACGUCCCAGUUCGGACUGCAGGCUGCAACUCGCCUGCACGAAGUCGGAAUUGCUAGUAAUCGUGGAUCAGCAUGCCACGGUGAAUACGUUCCC